AGUGAACGCUGGCGGCAGGCCUAACACAUGCAAGUCGAACGGCAGCACAGCAGUAGCAAUACUGUGGGUGGCGAGUGGCGGACGGGUGAGGAAUGCGUCGGAAUCUGCCUAUUUGUGGGGGAAAACGAAGGGAAACUUACGCUAAUACCGCAUACGACCUACGGGUGAAAGAGGGGGACCGCAAGGCCUCACGCAGAUAGAUGAGCCGACGCCGGAUUAGCUAGUUGGCGGGGCAAAGGCCGCCCAAGGCGACGAUCCGUAGCUGGGCUGAGAGGAGGAUCGGCCACACUGGGGCGGAGACACGGCCCAGACUCCUACGGGAGGCAGCAGUGGGGAAUAUUGGACAAUGGGCGCAAGCCUGAUUCAGCCAUGCCGCGUGUGUGAAGAAGGCCUUCGGGUUGUAAAGCGCUUUUGUCCGGAAAGAAAUCCUUUUGAUUAAUACGCGGAAGGGAUGACGGUACCGGAAGAAUAAGCACCGGCUAACUUCGUGCCAGCCGCCGCCGUAAUAC
rnacentral:rRNA from 1 species